ensembl:lncRNA novel transcript, antisense to PLG
UCAGGUCCAAGCGCCUUCAGCCAGCAGAUGGUUCAUGUCCUUCGAGGCGGCAAAAUAUGGGGUGGAAGGAGUGGGGGGUGUAGGGAAAUAUACAAAUAAAAAAUGGAUCACACCCCAAAGCUUCAACACCAAAAAUACCUUGCUAACAUACCACACUAUGAAACCAAAGACAAGAAAUCAACUACAAAUAAAGACCCUGCACAAGGCUUUGGCCCUGUAAAAACAUCCAAAGAACAAGUCUAUUGGCUGUAUUCAACCUACACUGCAGUUAAAGGAACAUAAAGGCCGGAGUGCCAUAUGUCCUCCAAACAACCACACUAGUUCUCUAACAAGGGUUCUUAACAAGGCUGAGCUGGCUGAAAUGAUAGAACUGGAAUUCAGACUAUGGAUAGGAAUGAAGAUCAUCAAGAUCCAGGAGGAUGGCAAAAUCCAAUCCAAGGAAAUUGAGGAUCACAAUAAAAUGAUAUAGAAGCUGAAAGACAAAAUCACUGGUUUAAAAAAGAACCUAAUGGAUCUGACAGAGCUGAGAGCUGAGAAACAAACUGUAAGAAUUUCACAAAGCAAUCCAAGUAUUAAUAGCAAAAUAAACCAAGCUGAGGAAAGAAUCUCAGAAAUGGAAGACUGGCUUUCUGAAAUAAGACAGUUGACAAAAAUUAAGAAAAAAGAAUGAAAAGGAAUGAACAAAGCCUCCAAGAAACAUGGGAUUAUGUAAAAAGGCCAAAUCUACAAAUCACUGGCAUUUCUGAAAGGGAUGGGGAGAAAGUAAACAAUUUAGAAAACAUUUCAGGAUAUUGUCCAUGAAAACUUCUUCAACCUUGCUAGAGAGGCCAAUAGUCAAAUUUAGAAAAUACAGAGAACCCCUGUGAGAUUCUAUACAAGAAGAUCAUCCUCAAGACACAUAAUCAUCAGAUUUUCCAAGGUCAAAAUGAAAGACAGAAUGUUAAAGGCAGCUAGAGAGAAAGGACAGGUCGUCUACAAAGGGAACCCCAUCAAUCUAACAGCAUACCUCUCAACUGAACCCGUACAAGCUAGAAGAUAUUGGGGCCUAUAUUCAAUAUUCUUAAAAAAUAUCCACCCAAGAAUUUCAUAUCCAGCCAAACUAAGCUUCCUAAGCAACAGAGAAAUAAGAUCAUUUUCAGCUAAGCAAAUGUUGAGGGAGUUGGUUACCACCAGAACUGCCUUACAAGAGAUCUUGAAAGAAGCACUAACUAUAGCAAGAUGGCUACCAGCCAAUACAAAAAUAUACUUAAAUACGCAGACCAAUGACACUAUAAAACCAUCACACAAACAAGCCAGCAUAACAACACAAUGAGGGCAUCAAAUUCACACAUAGCAAUACUAACCUUGAAUGUAAAUGGGCUAAAUGCCCAACUUAAGAGGCACAGAGUGGCAAGCUGGAUAAAAAGCAAGACCCACUGGUAUGCUACCUUCAAGAGACCCAUCUCACAUGUAAUGACACCCAUAGGCUCAGAAUAAAGGGAUGGAGGAGAACCUACCAAGCAAAUGGAAAUCAGACAAAAAAGCAAGGGUUGCCAUCCUAAUUUCAGACAAAACAGACUUUAAACCAACAAAGACCAAAAAAGACAAAGAAGGGCAUUACAUAAUGGUAAAGGGUUCAAUUCAAAAAGAAGAUCUACUAUCCUAAAUACAUGUGAACCCAACACAAGAGCACCCAGCUUCAUAAAGUUCUUAGAGACCUACAAAGAGACUUAGACGCCCACAAAAUAAUAGUGGGAGACUUCAGUACUCCACUGACAGUAUUAGACAGAUCAUCGAGGCACAAAAUUAACAAAGAUAUUCAGGACCUGAACUCAGCAUUGGACCAAAUGGAUCUGAUAGACCUCUACACAACUCUCUUUCCCAAAACAACUGAAUGUACAUUUUCAUCACCAUGUGGCACAUACUCUAAAAAUCAACCACAUAAUUGGACAUAAAACAAUCUUCAGCAAGUGCCAAAGAACCAAAAUCAUACCAAACACACUCUCAGACCACAGCACAAUGAAAUACCAGUCAAGACUAAGAAAAUAACUCAAAACCGUACAAUUACAUGGAAAUCAAACAACAUGCUCCUGAAUGACUUUUGGGUGAAUAAUGAAAUUAUGGCAGAAAUCAGGAAGUUCUUUGAACUAAUGAGAAUAAAGAUACAACAUACCAGAAUCUCUUGGACAGAGCUAAGGUAGUGUUAAGAGAGAAAUUCAUAGCACCAAAUGCUAGCAUCAAGAAGAAAGAUCUCAAAUUAAGAACCUAACAUCACAAUGGAAAAAAUUAGAGAAACAAGAGCAAAUCAACCCCAAAGCUAGCAGAUGGCAAGAAAUAACCAAAAUCAGAGCUGAACUGAAGAAAGUCAAGACAUGAAAAUUCAUUCAAAAGAUCAACAAGUCCAGUAGUUGGUUUUUUGAAAACAGUAAUAAGAUAGGUAGGCUGCUAGCUAGGCUAAUGAAGAAAAGGAAGAUAAGACCAAAAUAAACACAAUUAGAAAUGACAAAGGGGAUGUUAGCACUGAUGCCACAAAAAUAAAAAUAACCAUCAGAAACUACUACAAACAGCUCCAUGCACACAAACUAGAAAACCUAAAAGAGAUGGAUAAAUUCCUGGACACAUACACCCUCCCAAGACUGAACCAGGAAGAAAUUGAUUCCCUGAACAGAACAAUAAUGAGCUCCAAAAUUGAAUCAGUAAUAAAUAGCCUACUAACCAACAAAAGCCCAGGACCAGAUAGAUUCACAGCUGAAUUCCACCAGAUGUACAAAGAAGAGCUAUGACCAUUCCUACUGAAACCGUUCAAAAAAACUGAGGAGGAGGGUCUCCUCUCCAAUUCAUUCUAUGAGGUCAGCAUCAUCCUGAUACCAAAACCUGGCAGAGACACAAAAACAACAAAAAACUUCAGGCCAAUAUCCUUGAUGAACACUGAUGCAAAAAUCCUUUACAAAAUACUUGCAAACCAAAUCCAGCAGCACAUAAAAAAGCCAAUCCAUCGUGAUCAAGUAGGCUUUAUCCCCAGAAUGUAAGCUUGGUUCAACAUACAUAAAUCAAUAAAUGUGAUUCAUCACAUAAAUAUAACUAAAGAGAAAACCCACAUGAUUAUCUCAAUAGAUGCAGAAAAGGAUUUUGAUAAAAUUUACCAUCCUUUAUAUUGAAAACUCUCAAUAAACUAGGUACUGAAGGAAUAUAUCUCAAAAUAAUAAGAGACAGCUAUGACAAGUCCACAGCCAACAUCAUACUAAAUGGGCAAAAGCUGGAAGCAUUCCCCUUGAAAACUGGCACAAGAUAAGGAUGCCCUCUUUCACCACUCCUAUUCAACAUAGUAUUGGAAGCCCUGGUCAGAGCAAUCAGGCAAGAGAAAGAAAUAAAGGGCAUCCAGAUAGGAAGAGAGGAAAUCAAACGAUCCCUGUUGGCAGAUGACAUGACUCUAUGUCUAGAAAACCCCAUAGUCUCAGCCCAAAAGCUCCUUCAGCUGAUAAUCAACUCCAGCAAAGUUUCAGGAUAUAAAAUCAAUGUACAAAAAUCACUAGCAUCCCUUUACACCAACAACAGCCAAGCCCAGAGGCAAAUCAGGAACACAGUCCCAUUCACAAAUGCCACAAAAAGAAUAAAAUAUGUAAGAAUACAGCUAACCAGAGAGGUAAAGAUCUCUACAAUAAGAAUUACAAAACACUGCUCAAAGAAAUCAGAGAUGACACAAAUGAAUGGAAAAACAUCCCAUGCUCAUGGAUUGGAAGAAUCAAUAUCAUUAAAAUGGCCAUACUGCCCAAAGUAAUUUACAGAUUCAUUGCUAUUCCUAUCAAACUGCCAAUGAUAUUCUUCACAGCACUAUUAAAAAACUACUUCAAAAAUUUAUAUAUAACCAAAAAGGAGCCAGAAUAGCCAAGGCAAUCCUAAACAAAAAGAACAAAGCUGGAGACAUCACAUUACCUGGCUUCAAACUAUACUUCAGGGCUACAGUAACAAAAACAGCAUGGUACUGGUAAAAAAAAAAAAAAAAAAAGACACGUAGACCAGUGGAACAGAAUAGAGAGCCCAGAAAUAAGGCCACACACCUACAGACAUCUGAUUUUUAACAAAGCUGACAAAAACAAGCAAUGGGAAAAUAACUCCCUAUUCAAUAAAUGGUGCUGGGGUAACUGGCUAGCCAUAUGUAGAAGAUGGAAACUGGACCCCUUUCCUUACACCAUAUACAGAAAUCAACUCAAGAUGGAUUAAAGACUUAAAUGUAAAAUCCAAAAGUACAAAAAUCCUGGAAGACAACCUAGGUAACACCAUCCUGGACAUAGGAACGGGCAAAAAUUUCAUGAAGAUGCCAAAAGCAAUCUCAACAAAGGCAAAAAUUGACAAAUGGGAUCUAAUUAAACUUAAGAGCUUCUGGACAGAAAAAGAAACUCUCAAGGGAGUAAAGGGAAAACCUAGAGAACAGGAGAAAAUAUUUGCAAACUAUGCACCUGAAAAAGGUCUAAUAUCCAGCAUCUAUGAGGAACUUAAACAAAUUUACAA